rnacentral:rRNA from 1 species
CAGUCGCCGCGGUAAUACGUAGGGUGCAAGCGUUAAUCGGAAUUACUGGGCGUAAAGCGUGCGCAGGCGGUUUGUUAAGACAGAUGUGAAAUCCCCGGGCUUAACCUGGGAACUGCAUUUGUGACUGGCAAGCUAGAGUAUGGCAGAGGGGGGUGGAAUUCCGCGUGUAGCAGUGAAAUGCGUAGAUAUGCGGAGGAACACCGAUGGCGAAGGCAGCCCCCUGGGCCAAUACUGACGCUCAUGCACGAAAGCGUGGGGAGCAAACAGGAUUAGAUACCCGAGUAGUCCCUGUCUCUUAUAC